UACGUAGGGUGCGAGCGUUAAUCGGAAUUACUGGGCGUAAAGCGUGCGCAGGCGGUUCGUUGUGUCGGUGGUGAAAGCCCCGGGCUUAACCUGGGAAUGGCCGUCGAAACUGGCGAACUGGAGUGUGGCAGAGGGGGGUGGAAUUCCGCGUGUAGCAGUGAAAUGCGUAGAGAUGUGGAGGAAUACCGAUGGCGAAGGCAGCCCCCUGGGCCAAUACUGACGCUCAUGCACGAAAGCGUGGGGAGCAAACAGG
rnacentral:rRNA from 1 species